rnacentral:rRNA from 1 species
UACUUAGUGGCAGACGGGUGAGUAACAUGUGGGUAUCUACCCUUUGGCCUGGAAUAACACGAGGAAACUUGUGCUAAUACCGGAUAAGUCUUUACGGAGAAAGCUUUAUGCACCAUUGGAGGAGCCCGCACUUGAUUAGUUUGUUGGUGGGGUAAUAGCCUACCAAGACUAUGAUCAAUAGCUGAUUUGAGAGGAUGAUCAGCCACAUUGGGACUGAGACACGGCCCAAACUCCUACGGGAGGCAGCAGUGGGGAAUCUUGCACAAUGGAGGAAACUCUGAUGCAGCGAUGCCGCGUGAGUGAAGAAGGCCCUUGGGUUGUAAAGCUCUUUCGUCGGGGAAGAAAAUGACUGUACCCGAAUAAGAAGGUCCGGCUAACUUCGUGCCAGCAGCCGCGGUAAUACGAAGGGACCUAGCGUAGUUCGGAAUUACUGGGCUUAAAGAGUUCGUAGGUGGUUGAAAAAGUUGGUGGUGAAAUCCCAGAGCUUAACUCUGGAACUGCCAUCAAAACUUUUCAGCUAGAGUAUGAUAGAGGAAAGCAGAAUUUCUAGUGUAGAGGUGAAAUUCGUAGAUAUUAGAAAGAAUACCGAUUGCGAAGGCAGCUUUCUGGAUCAUUACUGACACUGAGGAACGAAAGCAUGGGUAGCGAAGAGGAUUAGAUACCC